AGUGAACGCUGGCGGUAGGCCUAACACAUGCAAGUCGAACGGCAGCACAGUAAGAGCUUGCUCUUACGGGUGGCGAGUGGCGGACGGGUGAGGAAUACAUCGGAAUCUACUUUUUCGUGGGGGAUAACGUAGGGAAACUUACGCUAAUACCGCAUACGACCUACGGGUGAAAGCAGGAGAUCUUCGCACCUUGCGCGACUGAAUGAGCCGAUGGCGGAUUAGCUAGUUGGCGGGGUAAAGGCCCACCAAGGCGACGAUCCGUAGCUGGUCUGAAAGGAUGAUCGGCCACACUGGAACUGAGACGCGGUCCAGACUCCUACGGGAGGCAGCAGUGGGGAAUAUUGCACAAUGGGCGCAAGCCUGACCGAGCCACGCCGCGUGGGUGAAGAAGGUCUUCGGUUCGUAAAACUCUUUUGUGGGGAAAGAAGAACAGUGGUAGUAACUCCGCCCGUCUUGACGGUACCAAAGAAAAAAGCCCCGGCUAACUACGUG
rnacentral:rRNA from 1 species